AUUGAACGCUGGCGGCAUGCCUUACACAUGCAAGUCGAACGGUAACAGGUCUUCGGAUGCUGACGAGUGGCGAACGGGUGAGUAAUACAUCGGAACGUGCCCGAUCGUGGGGGAUAACGAGGCGAAAGCUUUGCUAAUACCGCAUACGAUCUACGGAUGAAAGCGGGGGAUCUUCGGACCUCGCGCGGACGGAGCGGCCGAUGGCAGAUUAGGUAGUUGGUGGGAUAAAAGCUUACCAAGCCGACGAUCUGUAGCUGGUCUGAGAGGAUGAUCAGCCACACUGGGACUGAGACACGGCCCAGACUCCUACGGGAGGCAGCAGUGGGGAAUUUUGGACAAUGGGCGAAAGCCUGAUCCAGCCAUGCCGCGUGCAGGAUGAAGGCCUUUGGGUUGUAAAAUGCUUUUGUACGGAACGAAAAGCCUCUUUCUAAUAAAGAGGGGUCAUGACGGUACCGUAAGAAUAAGCACCGGCUAACUACGUG
rnacentral:rRNA from 1 species